AGACCCAACCAAAGUGGACAGAAGUGGAGCUUACAUCGUGAGGCAGGCAGCAAAGAGUGUGGUGGCAAAUGGAAUGGCUCGUAGGGCUCUUGUCCAGGUCUCAUACGCCAUUGGAGUCCCUGAGCCAUUGUCUGUCUUCGUUGACACCUACGGAACAGGGUUGAUUCCAGACAAGGAGAUAUUGAAGAUCGUGAAAGAGAGCUUCGACUUCAGACCAGGAAUGAUGACCAUUAACUUGGACUUGAAGAGAGGAGGAAACGGAAGGUUUUUGAAGACGGCGGCGUACGGACAUUUUGGAAGGGACGACCCUGAUUUCACUUGGGAGGUCGUGAAGCCACUCAAGUGGGACAAACCCCAAGCUUGAUGAUAUCAUUGUUUAUGAUAUUAAAUUUUCUAUGUUUCUUCUAUCUUUUUACGUUAAACAUCUAUCGUGGACCAAUAAUUAAUCCCUCCG
rnacentral:lncRNA from 1 species